rnacentral:rRNA from 1 species
UACGUAGGGGGCAAGCGUUGUCCGGAUUUAUUGGGCGUAAAGAGCGUGUAGGCGGUUAGGUAGGUCCGUUGUGAAAACUCGGAGGCUCAACCUCGAGACGCCGAUGGAAAACCAUCUGACUAGAGUCCGGAAGAGGAGAGUGGAAUUCCUGGUGUAGCGGUGAAAUGACGCAGAUAUCAGGAGGAACACCAAUGGCGAAGGCAGCUCGCUGGGACGUGACUGACGCUGAGACGCGAAAGCGUGGGGAGCAAACAGG